UGGAGCACCUGCAGUCAAUUAAGGCCCUGUUAGGAACCUAAUAAAACCCCCUGCUUCAGGCAGACAGAGAAGAGGAGGAAAGAGAGAGGGCUAGAGCUUGGAAGUAUGAUGUAAGACUUGGAAAAAUCAGAGACCUGAAGUAAGGGGGGGACCCUAUCCAGUAGGGGAGAGAGACUCCCUUCCCCAGCAUCUAAGGACUGCAGACGAACUCUGGUUACCCAUCUAUGGUUCUGCCCUCAAGUUUGUCUCCUGCUUCCGAUCUCCUGGUAACCUGACCCUGCCUGCCUCCUGAUGCCCAACUCUCAGUUUGCGUUCUGGUCUGUCUUGGACUCUGGACUCUGCCUGGCCUGGCUCCUGUUAUGACCACUAGGUCAUACCACCCACAUCCUGGUUAUGACACAUGGUCUGGGGGGCAACAUACGUUCUCAGAAGUUUGGCACUUUGAGCCACUAGCAAUCUGUGAUCCAUUCUAGAAUUAUCUAAAAUGACAGCAAUGAUGAGAUCCAAGCCUCCGUGACUUGUUUUGAUCAGCCAGAUACCCAACUGCUCUGAUGAGGGGUAUUCGCACCCCCAGUUUGCCUAAUUAUUUCUGACAUGUCAUCUGUCAUACUACAGGAUGUUGCUCUUCAAGAUUUAAAGGUAAAAAUGAAUGGACUGGAAGGGAAAAGCACUGCUAUACUUCAAUACUGGCUCUCAGCAGCUUUCUCUUUUAUCUCUCUUGGCUUUAGGGGCACAUGAAACUGUAAGAUGUGACUGGAAAAAUUAACUCCCAUGAGAAAGUAGCUUUUUAAAAUAAGAAGCUUAUAAAUUAGACUUUUACCAUGCAGGCAAAAAUGUUUUACUGUUAAUGUUAGUUAGUUUGUGGUGAUGCCAGAGAAUAUCAUUUCCUUUGUAGCACUCUGUUUCCUCCGUUGGAUAACUCUGAUUUUUUUUGUCACAUUUCCCAUUUCUCUAACAAACUGGAGCUUUUAUUUGUACUCUUUGCUGCCCGGGGAACAGCAAUUUAAGCUAUUAAUUUGGUCCCAGACUGGAACCGGUUUAAAGAAUCUCACCUACAGUCAUACCACAUGGAACUGUGAUCUUAAGCUGAAUAAACACAGCUAGUAUUUGCAGUGUGAGUGCUCGAGGGGAAGCCCGGGUUUUGCAGGAAGAUGUGCUGUUAAUUCUGUAGGUCGCACACUUUCUUAUGAGCACAGAACCAAAGAUGCUAGACAGCCCUGUGUGGCUGGAGGUGUACCCUUUCAGAAAAGUAUAUGAAUGAAAGGUACUGAACUACUGUAUCUUAUAAAUAACCUGUGGCACUUUAAAUGUUCUUAAUUCUAUUAAGGGGAAAACAGAAACCAUAACAAUCACAAGGAAAUAAAAAAAUACAAAGGUAAAUACAGGAUUAAACCAUAUUCAUCAACUCAGACAGUAAUAUAUUAAAUUUCUUUAUUACUUUGUAUGAAAACACAGAAGAAUAGAACAAAAGCAAAGAGGAGUAAGAACAAGCAAUAGAAAACACGAGAGAGAGAUGACACUCUGAACAUAGCAAGUCAAAAAAUAUUGUCAUUUUACAGCUACAGCAUCAGCCUGUAAAUGUCUCCAGCAAUGCUUGCUUUACCACACCUAUUAGUAGAGUUCUGUAAACAUCCCCAUUCUGUAGUUUUCAGUCAA